AGGCUCUAAUGUGGGAACGACUGC
rnacentral:miRNA from 1 species